ACGAUGACUACAUUGGCAGACGAGAGCACACUAUAAAUUACAAGCAGUAACGAUAGAAAAACAAAGUUUUGAAACUAUUGGAUCCAGUUGUGCAAGGCUCGACAAUGAAGCUGUUUCACCUAGGCGCUGUCAGUUUGCUUGUUGCGAGCAUCUUAACGACCGCCUCCGCCUACUACUGGAAACAGACGGAGGAUCCUAAUAUUUUUUCGAUCCUGAUUUUCCUGUUCGUGUUUAUUAUCAUCAUUCGAGUUUUGUGCCCUGAUAAUGGCAAGAAAGGCGUCAAUUCAUAUCGGUAAACACUCAAGUUUUGGAGUGAAAGGCCAUUCACCAAUUGAGCUGAUGAUAUAAACUGUUUGUACUGAAUGUAUCAAUAAAGCAUUAUACCGAAACGUGGUGUUAUGCAUUUGUUUCAUUUUAUGUUUGAUUGUGUAUAAGAGAAAGAUGUCAGUCAAUGAAAUGUUUAAUGGACAGUGAAAAUAAGAGUGAUUGUCCAUUAUUAUCUAUUAUGUUAAUUGUUUCAGAGUAACUUUCGUCGCUGGCUCUUGUAUUCAUAGUAAUUGAACCGGUGAGUGAGCAUAGGUCGAUUAACAUAAAUAGAGAAAUGAAGUUAUUGUCAUUGUUUCGGCGAAAUUCAUUAUUUAUUAAAAUGGUGGAAAGCAUCAAUGAAAAUGGGAGAAAUUUUUUGGUAGACGUGAAUAUGAAAAAUAUUUUACUGGACAAAGCUCCAUUCGUUACCAUAAACAAGACCUAUUCUCAUUGACGAUAUAUGUCCGUAAUCACAACACAUCGAAAAUGCAACA